rfam:Triticum aestivum genome assembly, contig: Triticum_aestivum_CS42_TGACv1_scaffold_485877_6AS
GAACUACUCCCUUCGUCCGAAAAUAUUUGUCAUUAAAAUAAAUAAAAAGAAAUGUAAAAUACUUGUCAUUAAAAUGGAUAGAAAGAUAUGUAUGUACAUCUUUUUCUAUCCAUUUUGAUGACAAGUAUUUUCGAACGGAGGGAGUAUGUA